rnacentral:misc_RNA from 1 species
GUUCUAGCACUUCUCCAUUCCUUGAUUACAGAACUAGACCCCCCUUUCCAAAUCCUUAGCAAAAGUUCCCCAAAUCCUCAAUUGAUGAUGAAAAUUUUUUGUUAUUCAUCAAACCAACACAAAAUCAACAACGCUUAAUGGAAAUUAAACCAAAAAUCACAGAAUAAAAAAUAAAACCCAAAGCCCAAAGUCACCAAAUCAACAACUCGGUCUUGUGAUGACUCGUGAGAACAUAGGUGAUUACUUAGUGGCGUGAUGAGGAAUUGAAUAACUAAGGAAGAAGAAGAAGAAGAAAGAUGAGAGCAAAAAAUGUCAAUUAGCAUUGGCUUGGGACUAUUAGGGUUUGUUUCGAUGAGGGUGAAAGAAGGGUAAAUAAAGAGAAGGAGGGAUAAGUGAGUUAUGUCCUCUUGUUUGGAAAGGGGCAAAUUAAUG